ACCCUGGUGGCUCAGAUGGUAAAGCAUCUGCCUGCAAUGCAGGAGACCUGGGUUCAAUCCCUGGUUUGGGAA
rnacentral:tRNA from 1 species